rnacentral:rRNA from 1 species
UACAGAGGGUGCAAGCGUUAAUCGGAAUUACUGGGCGUAAAGCGAGCGUAGUCGGUUAUUUAAGUCGGAUGUGAAAUCCCCGGGCUCAACCUGGGAAUUGCAUUCGAUACUGGAUAGCUAGAGUUCGGCAGAGGGAAGCGGAAUUCCAGGUGUAGCGGUGAAAUGCGUAGAUAUCUGGAGGAAUACCGGUGGCGAAGGCGGCAUCCUGGACCGAGAUUGACACUGAGGAGCGAAAGCCAGGGGAGCAAACGGG